GCUCCAGCAGCACGCUGGUCGAAGUGAGAAGGAAAAUCCAUAAAACCUUUGUGUCCUGCUUUGAGAAGGGAUUCAUUUUUCUGCACAAGAACAGUGAGGUACUUCGGUCACGAGAAAGAAUCAUCCGCGUCUUUGACAUCCUUCCAAAACCACCACGUCGAGAUUUGAAGCCUUCAUUCAAAUUUCCAGAUGUUCAGUAUAAAAAGAUCUCCUAUGAAAGAGACGGGCGUCGAUUCUGGUCGGUGUGUGCUGGCGUUAUAUUUCUGUUUGAAGACAGCGGUCUGUGUCAGUGGUCGCCAGGCGAUCUUCAGACCUACUUAGGUGGGACAACGACCGAGGCAUUCUCCUUUAUCCCCUUUACCGUGACCAGUGUGGAUAGCACUAACACAGAUAUUCCACUAGAUAAACUAAAUUUCGCUGCUUCAAGAGGAAACUUGACUGUCCUUCGAGAUGUUCUUCAGAAUCUACCAAAAGAGACAGAUCCACGUCAUCUCAAAGAUUCGCGUCAAGCCACACCC